ACCUUGAUGCAGGAAGAGAACCUGUUUCCUUCAUCAGCUGAACUGGUGUCAGGCCAAAAGAAGCAUGCAAAAGGUACUGAUAACAUCUCCAAAUAUAAAAAACAUAAGCCUCUGCCUUCAGAUGAUGACAAGAAGCAUGGCAAUGAGAGCAUGGAGACGGAGGGAGAAGAGAGAAGUGUCUUACAUAAAUUUCAGGAGGAACAAGUAUCAACACCAAGCGAUACGAUGGAUCAUGAUAACAACUCUUCAAAUGAGAGGAGUGCUCAUAGUCCUCAGGCACCUCAGCUACCUUCGUCAGAACAUGACGCUAACAGUCAAGGGGUGAAAAACACUGGGCAGGGCUUGAAGUGCCCAACACCUGCAAGAGAUAUGGUUAAACAUGAGCGUGAUAUGACAAUUGAUGAAAACAUCUGCUGCAAUAAUGAGAAACACCAACUGUACGCGUCAAAUGAACCACUGAAACGUGCAAAUGACACCGCAGGGAAAAGAAACAUGAAGUUGAGCUUCAAGAAUUACUCAGCGCCGCCAAGAAAUACAGCAAGCAAUGACAAUAACACCACUGAUGAGGAGAAUACUUUUCAUGGCUUGAAAAAUGAGCCGGUGCAACACAGAAAGAGUCAUGAAGGAGAGAGGAAUACUUCAUGUGAUCCUAAAAAUCAAAUACCAUCAUCAGGUCCUCUGGUGAAGCAAGACAAGAAAUCCUCCCCUCAGCAACAACCAUCACCUGCUGACUUCGUAAAGCCUGAAAAUAAGUCAGCUGAAAAAAAGACUAAACAUACCUCUGAGAAGCCCCAGUCACCUUCUUCAAACAAACUGGAGAAGCCUCAAGAAAGAAGUCCUUCAGCAGAGAGGAAGCAGAAGACACCAGCAGCAGAGGACAUCCCGUCACCCAAAACAAAGGCUGUAAAAGGGGACAAUGAACCCCAGCACCCAGGAAAGUACCGGUUACCACGGUCGAGUAAAGCAGCAAAGCUUGAGAAAGAAACUCCAGGAGGAGAAAAACAGCAAACAAGGUCUGAGGAUUUUACAACGCCUGGUGCAAAUACUGCAAAAGAGAAGAACAAGUUUCCAAAUCUCAAGAAGUACCGAUCGGUAUCUUCAGAAAUACCGGCUAAGCCUCAAGAAAAGGAUGCUCCAGAUCAAAAGCAAGAAACAUCAGCUGCUACAGGUUUUAAGAAGCCCGGUACUAAUGCUGUAAAAGAAAAAGAUGAAGAUAAAAAUUCUGAGGAGCCCCAGUCACCCUCUUCAAACAAAGGGAUGAAAUCCCAAGAAAAAACUACUUCAGGGAAGAGGAAGCAAAAGACACCAUCAGCAGAGGACAUCAGGCCACCUGAAACAAAGGCUGUAAAAGAGGAUGAUAAACACCAGUGUGCUGGGAACCAUCAGUUACCCCUUUCAAGUAAAUCUGCAAAGCCUGGGAAAAAUUCUCCAGGAUUGGGAAAACGAGAAACCGCAACUGAAAGUUUUAAAAAGCCUGAUGCAAAUGAUGUAAAAGAUAAAAGCAAAGAUCUAGGUUCUGGGAUGUGCCAGUCCCCAUCUUCAAAUCUGCAGGUGAAGCCUGAAGAAAAGAACGUCACAGCCAAAAAGAAGCAAUCGACACCACCAUCUGAUGAAAAAACGAAGUAUAAAGCUGGUAGUCCAGAAAAGAGGAGUGGGGCCCUGAGAACAGAGAAAUACCAGCUACAGUCUUCACAUAAGAAAGGGAAGAAGGACAAUGAUGAUUCAGGAGAAGAAGGGUCUGCGGGUGACCUCAAGAGCUCUCAAACUCCAUUGCCACGUGAUGGCAUAAAACGUAAAAGCAACACUGCCCCAAAAGACACUGCCCCAAAAGACACUGCCCCAAAAGACACUGCCCCAAAAGACACUGCCCCAAGAGACACUGCCCCAAAAGACACCAUCCCAAAAGAGACCUGUUUGUCUAAUACAGAGAGGUCCCCCCAGUCAUCCCCAUUGCUUGAUGCAUCAAAAUAUGAUGGAAGUCCCGCUGAAAAUAGAAGAAAACGGCCUGGAUUUAAGAAGUACCAAGCACUCUCAUCAAAUAAUUUGGUGAGGCAUGACAAAGACAUUGCUGAAAGGGAGGCUAGCUGGCAGGCAGCUGCUGUAACAAGCGACAGAACAGCAGAGCUGGAGGACUGCUCCAAAACAGCACCAUUCUCCAAGUACACAGUGGAAAGCUACGGUGAAAGGCCCUUAGAUUCAUCUUUUAAGCCACUGAUCAUUAGGGGCAUUACAUUAUCAUUUUUUAAUCACAAGGACAUUGAUGUGCAUCUAUCCGAGCUGGGCUUUUUCCUUUCUUAA
rnacentral:lncRNA from 1 species